rnacentral:lncRNA from 1 species
GGAGGAACACAGGAUCUGUGACAGCGGAAAGCCAGAGGGCUGCAGGCACGGGGCAGAGGGGAGGGGAACCACCACUUCCCCCAGUUGUCACAGCAGGGAGACAUCCUCCAAGGGCUGCACUGAAGAUACUUGCGCAAGGAAGAAUUCAGCGUUUAUGGAUAUGCCCCUUGGAGGACUGAGGCCAUCAGAAGAAGACCCGUAAGUCAUUAAAACACUCUUGACUCCGAGAAGCUGUCUGCCCUGGACUCUGGAACCAUUGCACCAGCCCUCCACACUCUUCCAGUGAAGAGCAGCUGCUGAGUAGGACCUCACAUAGAAUUUCACCAAAUCCAUAAUUCCUGUCUUUAAUGAGCAUUUAAGUGAAACAUGCUGUGCCUGUGGUGUGGACUGAGCAUC